rnacentral:rRNA from 1 species
GAUGAACGCUGGCGGCGUGCCUAAUACAUGCAAGUCGAGCGAACAGACGAUGCGCUUGCUCCUCUGUCGUUAGCGGCGGACGUGUGAGUAACACGUGGAUACCCUACCUAUAAUACUGGUAUAACUUCGGGAAUCCGGCGCUAAUCCCGGAUAAUAUCUUGCACCGCAUUGUUCAAUAGUGAAAGACGGUUUUGCUGUCUCUUAUAGAUGGAUCCGCGCCGGAUUAGCUAGUUGGUAAGGUACAGGCUUACCAAGGCAACGAUGCGUAGCCGACAUGAGAGGGUGAUCGGCCACACUGGAACUGAGACACGGUACAGACUCCUACGGGAGGCAGCAGUAGGGAAUCUUGAGCAAGGAGCGAAAGACAGACGAAGAAACGCCGCGUGAGUAAUGAAGAUCUUCGGAUCGUAGAACUCUGUUAUUAGGGAAGAAAAAAUGUGUAAGUAACAAGGCACGUCUUGAAGGUAAAUAAGCAGAGAACCACGGCUAAAUUAGUG